GACUCCGUAGCUCAGUUGGUAGAGCACAUCACUUUUAAUGAUGGGGUCCUGGGUUCGAGCCCCAGCAGGGUCA
rnacentral:tRNA from 1 species